rnacentral:lncRNA from 1 species
UCUUGAGGUUGUCGGCCCCUUAUAUGUGAGGUAGUCGUGCAGCUAGGUCAAAUGGUCAGCCGACUACCUCAAUUAAAGGAGCAGCUACCUCCAAUUUUUUUAAUGAAAACAAUGCAAUGCAAUUAAAGAAUCAAUGGCUACCUAAUAUUCCCUUACCUUUUGAAUUUAAUCAUAUAGCCCCCACCCAAUUUUUUUUAAAAACCUAAUAAAUACCCUACCACAGCCCACAGUUAACACCUCCAAAAAUUCCUACCACAUCCUCAAAUGACUACCUCAUCCAAAACAAAAAUACCCACGGCUAGUUCACGGCGUGAGAGAUAGAAAGAAAGAAUCAAUCCGCGGUCAAAGCUCGAGUUUAAUCUACUAUAAUGACUUAUUUUUUACAGGUUCUUUAUUCGAAUCUUUAGGAAAUUUAACAUUAGUAUUAAUUUAAAGUAUAUUUUAGAGUUUUAAAAUUAAAGUCUCAAUUAUAUGAUCGCAUUAAUUAUAUUUUUUAGGAUGUAUUGAGCAUGAAUUACAUAUUAUUUGUAAUUGUUCGUAUUUGUUCUAAACUAAAUUAGCUCCUCAAGCAUGUAGUUGAUCGUGUGAUUUAUGAUUAAUUUGUGGUAGCCGGUCGUGAUUCACGAUCGGCUACCUACAAGCGUUGAUCGGCUACUUCUUGAUUACUUGUUAAUUUUUAUAAUUUUAUUGCCGAUCGGCUACCUCUUGAUUUGUUGUUAAUUUUUAUAAUUCUAUUGAUUGAUAGUGAUCUAAUUUAUGAAUUUAGUAUUCAUAAUUAAUCGUGAUUUCAUACUUAUUUAAUUAUGAAUUGUUUUCUUAUGAUAAUUAAUCAUGACUUCAUAAUUAAUCGUGGAAUUUAUAUUAUUUUCUUUCGAUAAUUCAUAAUAAUAGUGGAUUAAUAAUUUAUAAUAAUCAUGACAUUUGAUAAUUAAUCGUAGCUUCGUACUAGAAUUUAAUUAUGAAUUGUUUUCUUUUGAUAAUUAAUUGUGGUGAUGAAGAGUAAACUCUGCAUCAAUUAUACGCAAUUAACAUGGCUGAAAUCUUUCUUUUAUAUUAUUAUUAUUGACACAAUUAUUACUAUUAUUUCAAACAUUUUGUGUAGCGCUGACUUGACAGGGCUGACCUUAUCAAUCGAGGAUUAUCUUGGCAGUUCAACGACUCAGCUCCAAGCUUAAGACUCAUGUAAUAAGGGCUUAGGCCCAAUAUUUAAAUUAAUGGGCCUCAGGGGUCAAAUGGGCUCAAGUGCCCUAGUUUUACUCUUAUGGCUAUAAAUAGGACAUUUUAUUAUUAGUUUAGGGGACUUUGGACUCAUUUUCUCACCAUGUAAAUUGUAAACACAAAAAGUAUAGUGAAAAACCUCAAAAACCCACCGUGGAUGUAGAUCUAAUGAUCGAACCACGUAAAUCCUCGUCAUUUAUCGCUUUAUAGUUAGGUGUUGAUUUUGAAUUCAUCAACUAUUACUUUUA